rnacentral:rRNA from 1 species
GAUGAACGCUAGCGGGAGGCCUAACACAUGCAAGCCGAGCGGCAUUGUUUCUUCGGAAAUGAGAGAGCGGCGUACGGGUGCGGAACACGUGUGCAACCUGCCUUUAUCUGGGGGAUAGCCUUUCGAAAGGAAGAUUAAUACUCCAUAAUAUAUUGAUUGGCAUCAAUUAAUAUUGAAAGCUCCGGCGGAUAGAGAUGGGCACGCGCAAGAUUAGCUAGUUGGUGAGGUAACGGCUCACCAAGGCGAUGAUCUUUAGGGGGCCUGAGAGGGUGAUCCCCCACACUGGUACUGAGACACGGACCAGACUCCUACGGGAGGCAGCAGUGAGGAAUAUUGGUCAAUGGGUGCAAGCCUGAACCAGCCAUCCCGCGUGAAGGACGACUGCCCUAUGGGUUGUAAACUUCUUUUGUAUAGGGAUAAACCUACCCUCGUGAGGGUAGCUGAAGGUACUAUACGAAUAAGCACCGGCUAACUCCGUGCCAGCAGCCGCCGUAAUAC